CUCGAUUCCGUGUUGGAUCUGAUAAAUUGAAUAAAUAAUAUAAAGAUUCAGUCCGUGAUAAAUAAAUUGUGGACGGCACAAUUUAAAAUAAAAUACAAUGGAAUGUGAAUUAAACUAAUCUAAUUGAAUAUCCUCCCGGUUGAUUCGAUCAUCAAUCGACAUUAAUUCAAAUAUUAAAUAAAGAUUUUUUCAUUGAUAUUCCUCCUCCGUGAUGAGAUUUUCCCCCUCCGUGAUCUGCAAAUAAAAUAUUAAACAAACCUAAUUAAUAAAUUAAAGUUCAAAAAAAAAGAGGAAAAACGCCUCCACUCCUUUUCCCACGUUAUAACCGUUUCCCCACUCCAUGAAUCUCUCCCAUAUCUAAACCAAGCCGCCUCCUCUCUAUAAUACUCCUUCCACAAAUCAGAUGUCACCCAUUUACGCUUCUCUGCAAAUCUGCAAGAACUCACAAGAACAAGACUAAUUAUUCUCAACCUCUACUCAAUCGAACUCAAGAAAUCCAGAACUAAAAUCAAGGAAAGAUUCAUCAUCUAUUCUUUCACAAUCUGACUGCAAAUCGAAGAAUCUGCAAUUAACCUCUUAAUCGAAGCAACUGAAUUAAAGAAUCGAACUUUAAGUCACGAAAUCAAAUCUGGAACUUAUCUGCGGGUUAAUCGGGGCUGCCGGAGCGGCGACGGCGGUGGGUGCGAGCCGCCCAGCAGCUGCUCGGUCUGGAUGUUGCCCGAACGGCAACGGAGCGGGCGAACACGGACACUGCAGCAUCGACGCUGCAGCGGCAAAUUUAGAGAUCUUGCUUUGUUCUUCCUGUGAAAGAAAUCGAGGGAGAGAGAGAUGGAUUUGGGUGUGUGUGCUUCUGAAAUCUUCAAUUUGAGUGUGUUGCAAAUUUGAGAAAUUGGGUGAGCUCUUUGAAAAAAAUUUGGACGAAAUUGAGAGACAGAGAGAGAAGGGGGGUGUUGAGGAGGAUGGACUUUGCUUGGUUGAAGCCGACAGUGCUGGGUUAUUUCCUCUCUAUAUGUAUAUACUAAUAUGUAUGCAUAGAUGUGUGUGUAUAAUGUCAAAUUAAUAAAUGAGAGAGGGAGUACAGAACAGUACAUGAAAUAGAGGGGAGAGUGAGAAGAGAGAGAGAGAAGCGACGACAUUUCCGGAGUAAAGUGUUUCCUCUAAUGACUUCUUUUACUAGUUUGUUACUUUGUCUUUUGGGAAUAUAUAUAAUUUGAUGAUGAUGGUUUCAAAAUGGAA